AAGGGCUUAGCUUAAUGAAAGCGAUUGAUUUGCGUUCAGUAGAUGUAGAGUGAGUUCUGCAGUCCUUA
rnacentral:tRNA from 1 species